rnacentral:lncRNA from 1 species
GGGCCCGGUUACUCAAUGAAACAAUGCUAAAACUCUUUUUUUUUUACUAAGGGGAACUUUUGUAUACUUCGACCUUUCCACUCAACUCCCAUGAAGCAGAUUCUUCAUUGAAAUCAGUAAGAAGAGGUUUUAAAAUCACUCCAAAAUUUAUUCUGAUCUAAACCCUACCAUUUAUUGGGCUUUCUUAAUAAUUUGCCCCUCAAUAUCUUUAAAAUUAUCUAAACCAUUAAUCAUUCAUCAAUUAGAAUACCUGAUUUACUUCAAAUCAAGAUAAAAUUUGGUACAC